UGACAGGUGCGACCCUAGUGAUCUGUGUGCAGACCUUCUCGGGCCUCUCCUAACUCGGGGCCAUUUUUCAGCAGGUCUUGAGGACUCCUUGUGAAGCAGUAUGACAGCCACUAGCAUGGGCACUCUGUCCCAUGGACUCUGCUGCUUUACCUAAGAUCAUUCGUUUCUCUGCAGGAAGUGCGAGAAACAAACAAGGAAAUAAACGGGAGAAAAGAAGCAGCUGGCGAGACAUGGGCACAAUUUACCAAUCACGCUCUGUAUUUGAGUGAGGAGCUGAGGUUGAGCAGGGACAGGAACCUGCCUGAAUGCCGCUGUGGCCAAAGCCUGGAUCUGAAGCUGUCUGCUCUGCCCUGUGCUCUUUGCUGAAGUCCUGCUCCAGUGAGGAGACCCGUCCCAGACUGUGGAGGGAAGCUGACU
rnacentral:lncRNA from 1 species